CUCCAAGGCGCCGGCUGCCAUGAUUGCGGGCAGCGGGACGCGCGCGCACGCUCGGGCCCGGCUCCGGGACCCUCCGCGGACCGACAGUCGCGGCCUGCCCGCAGCCCUGUGCGCGCUGCGGGCAGCGCGAGGGUCUCCCGGCUUAUUUCCGUGGGACCAGUGUGUAUCGUGGAGCUCUAGACCAGGCACUAGGACAGUACUCGUGGCCGACAGUGGCAGUGGCUUUCCCCAGGGCAAGUCGCGCGCACGGGCGCCCAGCAGCCUCUUCCCGGACACCACCGGCCCCGCGGAGCAAGGGGCGCGGUACCCUUUGGGCUGUGGUGGAGCGGAUCCGGCGAGCGGGAGUGGGAGGACAGCGCACUAUGCCGGAGAUGGCGCAGAAACUGCGGGGAGAAGUUCAAGGCCGCAGCUUUGCUCUCAGCCCGACGGCGACACUGCUGCCUCCAGGCCACACGGUUCUUUCCUGGGCUCCUUCAGGGGAAGGGGAACGCCUGGGCUCCAUGGCCUGGACACUGGUUAGGAUGUCAAGGAGUCUGCAGCGUCUUUCCCCGCCGGCUUUGCAGGGGCGUCCAAGCCGUCUGCAAACUGCAGAGGCGCAGGCCUGGGACUCUGGCCCUGGGGAACACCCGUCAGCACACGGUGGCUACACUCAGACCCCUUCCCCCUGCCUGGGUAUGCUCUGGCUCAGAGCCACGCAGACCUAGCUCUUCCUGAACGCCAGCGAUGGCCCCGUUGAUGGCCAGGGCCUGAGAGAAACAUGGCCUCGGGGCCCCAUCCCACUCUCUGUGCCUGUCUCCCCCCUACUACCCCCCCUCUGGCCUUGGCAUUCUAACCAGUGUCCCUUGACGUCACAUCUCGCCAUUUCUGUCAACCAAUUGAAACUUGCCCGUUGUCAUAAAAAUAUAUAUUUUUAUGCCAUUGGUAAAUUCAAAAGUUCCUCGCAUGCCCAGCUGCCCAGGAAACUCCACUCCACGUUGGAUUGGAUUGCCCAGGAGGGGAAAACUGGCCACUUGGUUAAGGCUGGGCUAGACAGCACUGUGAGGACCCGGGGCUGUCCAAGCCCGGUAGACCCCAUGGCCUUGGCCUUGGCCUUGGAUAGUGCUGGACACUACACACCCACAUCAUUACCACAACCCGUGACACAGAAUGGGGGGGGGCGGGGAUCCAGGAUAUGCUAAGAAAUCUUCCCAGUUGCUUUCCUGGGAGUCUGGGGUAUGGAAUCUUACUUCUUUUAGCUUGCUUUUUCCCUAUCAGAAAACUAGGGUUUCGAAAACAGAGCAGAAACAUUUCCAGCCCACGUCUUCACUGGAAUUUUUACCAACUUUCACUUUCCAUGGCUGCCAGCAGCAGUAAAGAUUCAGCCCAAGCAGGAGCCAUUUCACUCUUUCCUGCAGAGGGUGCAUUGUGGCCUCUGCAGGAAGAGCUGUGGGACCCAGGGCCAGGAGCCCUGGAGCCCUGUGUCCCUUUGUGCUCAGGAACACCAAGCCUCUGACAGAAGGACAGGGAGAAUCAGUUUAGUCUAGCACCGUCCUUUAUAAAGUCUUCACAGUCAGAGUUCCCAACCAGGAAGUGUGGGAAAAGAGCAUAACAUCCACCCAGGGUGACUGCACUGGCAGUCCCCAAAAGCCACUCGGAUCCCUCUGUGAGCCCCCUUCUGCUCCACCCACACAGGGACAAGCUCAGCCACCAACUGCCAUUACCAGCUUCUCCUGUGCCCCUCCUUACUGCACGGUUCAACCACUUCCAAAACAUGAAAGACAUCUUGAGGUUUAGUAAGUUUAGGAGCUCCUGUAGAACAAAAUGCGUAGGGACAGGGCCGAGGGCAGGGAUCAUAACAGUAUAACACCAGGCCCUUUUAAUGCCGAAUCUCACUUUUCUAACCUCAUGAGCAAGCUCAGAACCACCAAACAAAUGGGGAUUCCGAACUAAAUAUAUGAUGACUUCAAAUGUAAAACUCUUCUCAGGCACAAAUUCUGAAGAUGCUGCAUACCUUUGAGAUAUAAUUGUAAAGAAAUAAAAGACUGUAUCCAACAACCACACCAUAAUCUAUUUAUAAUCACUUUUCCAAACACUAUAAAUAUUACAACUAAUGUGAUAUACGUUUUGUGAUUAAAACAUGAAUUAAAUAGUGGAUUAAAACACUGAAUUUUAAAAAGCCACAAAGAAAAAGAGAUUAUCUUCCAUUACGCCACUUACAACUUUGUUCCAUUGGCACAAAUACAAAGUUGACAACGGUAUCAUUACUGAAUGCAGUAGAUGCCAGGAUAUUAGCUUUGUAAUUUUCACCUGAAAUCGUUGUAUAAUCACACCAGCUUACUCACCUUCUUUUUAUUGGCCAUUUUUUUUCUUGCUCUCACACAGUAAUAAGUUAAUUUAAUGUAUUUUCCCUCCUUCCAAUUUUUAUUUGAUAAAACAAGAAAUCAAGUGAGUCAGAAGAAUAUUCAAGAACACCCACUUUUUAAAAACUCUCCCGUACUUGGCAAGGAUUUACACACAAUUUGGUUGCAAAUUCAGAAAACAAAUUCUGCUUAAUUCUAGGAAAAUAAUAACACUCAGGUAAUUCCACUGGUAUUAUUCAGUUGGACGCUUUUUCCCCCCCUCACUACUUGCCAUCACAUAUUAUUCAAAGUAAAAAAAUAUUUUUAAAGUGAGCUCAAAGACUCAAAAAGGGAAGAUGGAAAAUUUACAUUGCUGAUGAGCAUUAUGCUGGACAAUUUUCCUGGAAGAAAAACUUGGCUUGUCCCUUUAGGCCACAACCAUGCCUGAGGUCAGAUGUUUGAAAAUAAGUCCUAGGAAGCCUGCCGCUGUACCAGGAUGUUUACAGUAUCAGCCUUAUACAGUUAUUUUUUCCUGAUUUCUCCCAAGAUCUGCCUAAUGGGAAUGCGGCCGGCAACUUCCUGCCAUACCCUUGAGCCCUGGCUCUCUCGCCUUUGCCCUUGGCCGGCGGUCCAGCCUCAGAAGGCUGGGGGUGGGCUUCAGUUUCAAUUCUCUUCUCUCCUCAUAGCGACAUUUAAUAGUGUUAAGUUUCCAGGACCCGAGAAAUCACGAGGACUUAGUAAGCAGAUGCAUUUAAUCUAGUCAAAGCAAGCAGAUGCAUGUGAGUGAAACCCACUCGGGUUCUGAUCCUUCAGUUUGCACGUCAAGAACUGUGGUGUGUCCAAAGCUGGCCGAUAAACCUGGGAUUGCAAAUUUGCCGAAGUUAAGAUGCCCCUUGGAUCAGCCCUGACAAGGCGCCUUCAGAGUUGCUGCUAAGCAGCUUUGGUUAUUCCGUAAAAAGGCAAACCAGGCUUCUGUUUUCUUUCUUUCGCCUUUGUCUCAGAGGAGUUUGCAGAUUGGAGAGUCCAUUUUAAUACGCCUGGCUCAGGGUAACUUGUGCUGCUACUUUGUGAAGGCUUUACUCUCACUCACGCACAAAACCUAUAGCAUCCCUUUCCUUUGGGUAAAUAUGUAUGGGUAUAUACAUAUUAUCAGAAAUAGGUAACCACACACAGGUAUGAUUUCUUACAGAGGAAGUUGAGGAAGGAGAGAACAAAAAACUCCUGAUUUCCAUAGAAGCUGCUGAGAGCUGAUGUGGUCUAGACAGGGACAGGAUCGAGCAAACUACCACAGAAGGGACUCUCCUCCUUCCAGACAUAAUGAAGGCUUUUCAGAAUCUUUUGCUGCAGUCCCCCGUGUAGGUCACAUUUGGUGCUGAUUUACCACCAACAGUAACGCAGCCUGGCUGCGGGACAAUGGCGUCCGAGGACACCAUCUCCCCUUCUUCUUUCCUGAAAUAUAGAGAACACCCUGAAGCUGUCUGCAGCUGGCCAUGCCAAGCAGCAUGUCCUCUGCUCUCGGGGCUCCUGGGUGCUGAUCCCAUGCCAUGCUGCUGGCUGGUUAGCAAGCUGCUAGGAGCCUGGCAUCAUGGACUUCAACCCACUUGGGAAGUUCACACGUUUGCUACCCACAAAGCGUCACCAGUGCCCCCAACUUGAAAAGAAGUCUAAAACCCCAAAGGCAUUCUUAAGGGGUUAGUAUUAUUUCUCUAAUAAAGGAAAGCGUAAAACCACAA